UUCAAAUCUAGUUACACAUUGGAGAACUCACUCAGGAGAGAAACCUUUCUCAUGUUCUGAAUGUGGGAAAUGUUUUGGCCUUAGAACAUCUUUAGUUGCACACAUGAGAACUCACACAGGAGAGAAACCUUUCUCAUGUGCUGAAUGUGGGAAAUGUUUUAACAGGCAUUCAAAUCUAGUUACACACCGGAGAACUCACUCAGGAGAGAAACCUUUCUCAUGUGCUGAAUGUGGAAAAUGUUUUAACAGGCAUUCAAAUCUAGUUGCACACCAGAGAACUCACACGGGGGAGAAACCUUUGUCAUGUUCUGAAUGUGGAAAAUGCUUUAGCCAGUACUCAGCUCUAGUUGCACACCAGAGAAGUCACACAGAUGAGAAACCUUUCUCAUGUACAGAAUGGAGAAAUAGUUUUGUUAGUAAACCAGAGUUUGUUAAUAAUCAGAUAACUCACACUGUAGAGUUUUUAUAAUGUGUUUAUGAAUUAACAUCGGAGUUAAAUCGGAGUACAAAUACUGUGAAUUGCUUUAUUGCUGUCAAAAGAAAUAAUACCUGUGAUAAUAGCAAUGUAUAAAUGAUGCAUUGGUAUUGCGAUUGUGUUAACUCUACAGAGCCCCUCUUUACUUAUCUCCCCUUUGAUAUUAAUGUUAAAUUUGAAAACUUCUGUGCCUUCCAUGCACAACUCUUGAAUUCUUUAAUUUUGUUUAUUUUUUGUUAGUGUGAGAGUUAUUGCACAUAUUGUCUGGUUAUUUGAUGUUCCCCAUUUAUCAAUUUCACCUAACUAAUCUCUCCCAUUGAUUGGUUUAAUUUUCUCACCUAAUUUCUGCAUGCCUUUUUACACAUAGUUUAUUGCUUUAUCUACUCUCAGACUCUCUCUCUUACUGUCUGUGACCCAAACAACAGCAUUCAUAAGUUUCACUCAGGAUUCAAAGCUAACAAGUGUUGCAGCCAAAGCCAUAUGAAAAAAAUUCUGGAAGAUCAAGUCCCUCAAAACCCACCUCCUCAGACUAUGGCAUCUGAAAGUAACUGUUAUUUCACAAACCUAUUUUUCACGCCUUCUUAAAAGGCCACAGUCCUCUUUUACCUUUUAAUUCUGCUACUCCCCACCAUGUUGCUUGGUUGCUAUGUGGAAAAUGUCAGUAAAGCAAGUCUUGAAACACAUCAGAGAACUCACACAGGAGAGAAGCAUUUUUCAUGUUCUGAAUGUGGAAAAUUUGUUAUCCGUAAAGGAGAGCUUGUUAUACAUCAAAUAAUUCAAAUAGGAGAGAAA